GUCACUACUGCGGUUUACUCCUCGUGCUGAGACUCCAUCCACUAGCUCUCCCCCUGCUAGGCCUCUUGUUGCUCCUGCUCCCCGGGGCCCCAAAACAUCACUCGGCUUCAUCUCCACACCCCUCAUCUGGCCCGUGAGGAAGAAAGUUGAGGCACACAAACGUCCCGCAAUCCAUCUGACCAAGCCGCCUGCCCAACCGACAAUAAGCAUGACGAAUGAAUCCCACUUGCUGAAAACAUCUACAAUGGCCCCCGUUGCCAAGAAAACAGAUUCUACAAGCAUGAGGCCAGCCUAUUCCCAGGUGAAGCCUCCGUGGCAAUCAGGCGCUCACAAUCAGAGUGAAGACAUUGAGUCUUUUCAGGUGCCAUCACACAGUAAUCGUAAGAACAAGCCACUAGCUCCCCAACUGGUCCUGAGCGAUAGUGACAAGAACAGCACAGAGAUACUUGAGUACCCAUCUGGUUUUGGCCCGGAGUCAUUUUUUUACGACAUUGACUUGGAUGAUGAUGUCUUUAGCCUGUUCGACUUUGAUUCCUCCUACUCCCUGGAUGAAAGCUUGGCCACUGCCAUCCCCCAUAACAUGUCUUUCUUAGAGGUAGAAAGUGUGCCUACUGUCAACACCAUGACUUUUGGACCUGUGAGACAGGCGGUUAGCAAACAGGAACAUUUACACAGUCAGUCAGACAUUAGUUUACCCUGGGCUAUGUCAGAGCUGGUACAGGUCUCAGAGCGGCAGGAGACAGACGGCAGCUGGACACUUAUCCCAUCUCCCACCAUGUCUCCGGGAGGAACAGGUGUGCAAAUGAUCCAGCUUGAGCUCAAGAGUCUCUCUGACCAAACAGCAGCAUGGCCAGAGCGGUCGCCCACACAACUUGUGGAUAUAAAGCUAACAAGCACUGUGCCUUGGGGCCUCUCGGAGGCAACUGCCAUCGAGGACACCUUUAAAGAUGCACAACACGGUCAGAAAAAUUCCACCGUCGAGCCCACAGUGGUUACACAUGACCAGGUGGAAACUUUAGCAGAGGGUUAUGGCAGGACAAGCUUUAGAGAACCUGAGUACAGUCUUACUGAUACCACCCCUUCCUAUUUUUCAUCAACCUCCCAACAGAGCACUUUCAACAAUCUGCCCGAUCAAACUAUUUUACUCAUAGAGCCUUUGGCAGUGAGCCCUCUCGUUCCACAAGGCAGCUAUUCCCUCACAACAGAGACACAUGUUAUCUCCUCUCUCGCUUUUUCUCAUAGUGUCAAGCCGGUGGCUGGACUGCUUAUGGAUUCAACCCGCAGUGCUGCCACUCUUAUUGAGCCCCUGAAUUCAAUGCCUACUGCAGGGGUUCAAAGUGACUCCUUAAUGACAGAGGCCAUCAGACCGAGUCUAUUGUCGUCUUGGCCUCACACUGAUGUUUUCCCAUCUUUGACACCUGGCUCAGCCCAAAGUCUCUUUAUCUCCGAUGCCAAAAACAAUGCUGACCUGGUUUUACCCUCAAUGAACAAUCAAUUCAUCCUCUCUGAAAACCCACGAGCUGUUGACUCCAGCCAAUUCCCAACUCGCAGUGUUCUCACCGCAUAUCCAGGCAUCACAAGCAGCAUUUCUACAUCAAUAGUGGGCAGCCUGUCCAAAUUAGAUUCACCUUUGGCGCUGGAGCCGUCGCAUGUAAACAGAUUGCCAGAUACCCUUUUCAGAGGCUUAAGCAGGCAAGGCGAUGUUAAUCCUUCAGAUGCUGAUCUGAGGGACUUGUCACAUA
ensembl:lncRNA